rnacentral:rRNA from 1 species
UACGAAGGGGGCUAGCGUUGCUCGGAAUCACUGGGCGUAAAGCGCACGUAGGCGGAUUGUUAAGUCAGGUGUGAAAUCCUGGAGCUCAACUCCAGAACUGCCUUUGAUACUGGCGAUCUCGAGUCCGGGAGAGGUGAGUGGAACUGCGAGUGUAGAGGUGAAAUUCGUAGAUAUUCGCAAGAACACCAGUGGCGAAGGCGGCUCGCUGGCCCGGUACUGACGCUGAGGUGCGAAAGCGUGGGGAGCAAACAGG